UCUCUGUUAGUAUAUCGGUUAGUACACGCGCCUGUCAUUGAUCUGGCCGCGCGAAAGCGGGGUUCGACUCCCCGACAGAGAG
rnacentral:tRNA from 1 species